AUUGAACGCUGGCGGCAUGCCUUACACAUGCAAGUCGAACGGCAGCAUGGAGAGCUUGCUCUCUGAUGGCGAGUGGCGAACGGGUGAGUAAUGCAUCGGAACGUACCGUGUAAUGGGGGAUAACGUAGCGAAAGUUACGCUAAUACCGCAUACGACCUGAGGGUGAAAGCAGGGGAUCGCAAGACCUUGCGUUAUACGAGCGGCCGAUGUCAGAUUAGCUAGUUGGUGAGGUAAAGGCUCACCAAGGCGACGAUCUGUAGCGGGUCUGAGAGGAUGAUCCGCCACACUGGGACUGAGACACGGCCCAGACUCCUACGGGAGGCAGCAGUGGGAAUUUUGGACAAUGGGGGCAACCCUGAUCCAGCCAUGCCGCGUGAGUGAAGAAGGCCUUCGGGUUGUAAAGCUCUUUCGGCCGGGAAGAAAUCGCACAGGCUAAUACUCUGUGUGGAUGACGGUACCGGCAUAAGAAGCACCGGCUAACUACGUGCCAGCCGCCGUAACAC
rnacentral:rRNA from 1 species